rnacentral:rRNA from 1 species
UACGAAGGGGGCUAGCGUUGUUCGGAAUUACUGGGCGUAAAGCGCGCGCAGGCGGUCUUCCAAGUCAGUGGUGAAAGCCCGGAGCUCAACUCCGGAACUGCCAUUGAAACUGUAAGACUUGAGGAUGAGAGAGGUGAGUGGAAUUCCCAGUGUAGAGGUGGAAAUUCGUAGAUAUUGGGAAGAACACCGGUGGCGAAGGCGGCUCACUGGCUCAUAUCUGACGCUCAGGCGCGACAGCGUGGGGAUCAAACAGG